GGGAGCUGUGGGCAGGAGAGGAAGGAAAGCAGCUCUCUCAGCUAGCGAGGGGGUCAGGGACUGGGCCAAGCUCAGAAGCGGGGAGAAGAGCGAGACAGAGAUGCUCUGAGCAGGGGAGACAGGGAUCCCGGGCUGCUGCCGCUACCAACAAGGGUACACACUGCGGUCCUCAAGGCCAGGAGGGGGGUGGGGGCAGGGAAUGCCUCAGCCAACAGGGCAGCGGCUCGGCCCUGCUGCUGGCCCGGUGGGAAGUAGCCUGGGGCCCCGCGACUGAAAUCCGAGCCAGGCCUGGGCAGUCUCCGCUAGAAACGCUCUGGGCGCGCACUCCUGGAGACGCGGAGGCCCGGGCGCUCCAGACCAGUGUCCUUGUAGGAGGCUUCUUCACGAAGCUUAGAGUUUGGCCUUUCAUAGGGAAAGACUUGCUCGGGAGCAAGUCUAAGGGAUUUUAAGGGAUUUUAAAUCUUCCUGGGCCAGGGCUAGGGAGCUCUAGUGACAGUGUCUUGGUCUGGAAUCCAACUCUCCAAUUUUGAGGCCGCAGGGAGGAAUUCUGAGACUUUAGAGGCCGCACAGCCUUCAGCGCGCUCACCGCGUCCAGGCGUCAGUGAGGGGCUAUCUCGAGGCGCGAGUGCACAAAAGGUAGCGCGAGUCUCUUCUCAGGCGAUCCAGAUAAGAGGAAAUGAGAGCCGGGUUUUCUGACUUCCAACUCAUUAGGGACCAGGUUCUUUUUCUUCAGGAUCAGGCACAGAGACUGACUGAAUGGCUCCAAUUAUCAGGAUUUGAAAACCCAGUAUCAGAAUCUACCACUUUGUAUGUUAAUUAUUCAUACUGCAUGACUGAGGAUUUUGGAGGCAGAGAGAGAUUCAUCUGCAAUAUUUGGAACACCAAUGGAGGUCUACGUCAACACAGAAUUUAUACAGCAGCUGGUGCUAGUCAGAGCUAAUGACAGAAUUUCAGUUUAAUAAAAAGACCCCCAACUGAGCACACCAUCUUGAAAAAAGUAUACUUAUCAAACAGCUUUCAAUCAGUUCAAGAGAGACACCUUAAUUGGGGAGAGGAAGAAUUGCAGAGUAGUUUGUAAUCAUGCCAAUUCCAGAUCAAUAACUGCAUGUCUGUUCUUUGGUAGAAAUAGCUUUUGCUUUAUAUUAAGUAAUCACAUAUAUAUUCUCUCUAUUUGGAUAAGGAAACCUUCGCUUUAUUUGACAAUGUAUAAUGAUAUACUCUUCUAAUUCACCUCUGUGUCUUCACAAUAAACAUGAGUAAAAUUUAGACAAGUGAUGGUAAAGGUCAAUAUAAUUAUUUAUUUUUAAAAUAAAUUUUGUAUCUAACAGGAAAGCAGUUCUUAUGAAAUUUUUAUAUUUUCAAAAAUUGUUUUGUUCAAAUAAAAUUUUAUGAGUAAAGUUAAA
rnacentral:lncRNA from 1 species